UAUUUAUUAAUUGUUAGGAUUGGAGGAAGGCAUCUCUCCACCUCUUGGAAAUUAAUUUGUAGAGUUUCAAAUCUACACUUUUGCUAUUUUUGGAGAUUCAUAGACUUUUGUGUGGCUCGCCUCAACUUGGAAGACUAGAAUUUUUUUUGAAGGAUCACAGGUGGGCAUCUUGUGGUUGAGGUUUUGCUUAGGGUCAUUCUAGGAUGUAAGCUUACCCUUUUUUUUUAUGAAGGAGGUUGAUUGUAAAAAUUGCUUAUGAAGUUGGAUGUAUUGAUGGAUUCGUGAUUAGUAUGUA